AGCAGAUGAGUAAAAAAAUAAAAAAUAACAAUUUCAAAAGAUGUGGUAGUACAGGUAGAAGAGCAUCUAGUAGUGUAUCACCUUGUUCAUUGUUGACUAUUGCAUGGAUUUACCAAGUUUAAGGUAUUCCAAGUUGCUUCAAAGAUGCUUUCAUUAUGAGUUAAAUUAUAAACGCCCAAGAAAAUCUUAAUCUAUCUUUUUUCGUUUUUCCCCCUAGUUUUACUCCUAAGAUGACAUUCAAUUGAUGGCACAACAGCAAAAUACAUUCCUUUACAGCAAAGUAUAACGGAUGUCGGCGAAUGGAAUAUCAUUAAGCACACAGCAUCGACUAGUCCCUAUUACUUAGUUGGGUUAAGAAUUAUCAUUAGUUAUGA